UACGGAGGGGGCUAGCGUUGUUCGGAAUUACUGGGCGUAAAGCGCACGUAGGCGGACCGGAAAGUUGGAGGUGAAAUCCCAGGGCUCAACCUUGGAACUGCCUUCAAAACUAUCGGUCUGGAGUUCGAGAGAGGUGAGUGGAAUUCCGAGUGUAGAGGUGAAAUUCGUAGAUAUUCGGAAGAACACCAGUGGCGAAGGCGGCUCACUGGCCCGGUACUGACGCUGAGGUGCGAAAGCGUGGGGAGCAAACAGG
rnacentral:rRNA from 1 species